CCGAGUUUACAACUCCCAAACCCAAUGUGAACCAUACCAAACUGUUGCCUCGGCGGGGUCACGCCCCGGGUGCGUCGCAGCCCCGGAACCAGGCGCCCGCCGGAGGGACCAACCAAACUCUUUCUGUGGUCCCCUCGCGGACGUUAUUUCUUACAGCUCUGAGCAAAAAUUCAAAAUGAAUCA
rnacentral:misc_RNA from 1 species